GUAGGUAUAGUUUAAAUAAAAAUAUUAGAUUGUGAUUCUAAAGACAGGGGCCAGUCCCCCCUUACCCACC
rnacentral:tRNA from 1 species